rnacentral:lncRNA from 1 species
CUCUUACAUAGCUCAAGUUCUGGGCCCCAGGGCCUGACGGUGAGUAUGCCCAUAAAGCCCACCCAUAAGUCCACCAACAUGUUCCACCCAUGAGUUCGCUCACAGGGAGUGGAGUGUGUAGGAGAUGUGUUAUGUGUUACUGUAGAGGAUCUAAUGUGUGUGCUUAUGGAAUGUAGUGUAUAGGGAUACCAGUUUGUGUAGGUGAUGC